rnacentral:rRNA from 1 species
UACGGAGGGUGCAAGCGUUAUCCGGAUUCACUGGGUUUAAAGGGUGCGUAGGAGGGCAGGUAAGUCAGUGGUGAAAUCUCCGAGCUUAACUUGGAAACUGCCGUUGAUACUAUCUGCCUUGAAUAUUGUGGAGGUGAGCGGAAUAUGUCAUGUAGCGGUGAAAUGCUUUGAUAUGACAUAGAACACCUAUUGCGAAGGCAGCUUACUACGCAGAUAUUGACGCUCAUGCACGAAAGCGUGGGGAUCAAACAGG